GGCCUCAAAGGUGUAAUUUUUAAGGCAGAAAGAUGUAAACUAGAAUUGGAUGCCAAUAGAGGCCAAAGCAUUUCUUUAAUAUUUACUUUGGGGCUUUGAAGGUACAUUGCUGUUUUUUUAAAAUUUAUUUUGAAACAGUUUUGAAAUAAAAGAUGGCAGUUAUAACUUUUAACUUAUGCCAAAUGCCAUUAUCAUUUUUAAUAAUUUAGCCAGAUAUGUGUAGUAUCAGAAAGCUUAGUCAUUAAAACCAAAUAAAGACACUUUCUAAAUUGAAUAAAAGGAAAGAAUGACAUGCUUAAUUUCAAGUACCAAAGAGACAGAAUAGUCAGUGAUAUGGUUUGGCUGUGUCCCCACCCAAAUCUCAUCUUGAAUUGUAGCUCCCAUAAUCCCCGUGGGUUGUGGGAGGGAGCCAGCGGGAAGUAACUGAAUCAUGGGGGCGGGUUUUCCUAUGCUAUUCUCGAGGCAGUGAAUAAGUCUCACGAGAUCUGAUGGUUUUAUAUAGGGCAGUUCCCCUGCAUGCACUCUCUUGCCUGCCUCCAUGUAAGACGUGCCUUUGCUCCUCCUUUGCCUUCUGUCAUGAGGAACUGUGAGUCCAUGAAACCUCUUUUUCUUUAUAAUUACCCAGUCUCAGGUAUUUCUUCAUAGCUGUAUGAAAAUGGACUAAUACAGUUGGUUUCUCUACGUGCACUCUCACAUGGGCAAACUGUUUUAAAAAAAAAAUAAUAAUCACCUACUUUAUAAGUAGCGGUCAAAGGGUAAGUCGAAAUUUCAGGUUAAGUAUGACCUGCUUCUUUGAUUAGGAAGAAUGAGGUACAUGUACUGCAUAGUGGGGAGGAAAAAGGCUGAGACUGAAAAUCUAGAGAAAUCUCCACUUUUCAUAGCAAAAAAGAAAAAAAUAUUCAAUAAACAGUGGCUUCACUUCUGUCUUCAGAAGAAAAACAAAUGCCUGCUUCAAUUUUCUUUAUCCCCACUUUUUAAUUUUUCUGAUUUUACUGUAACAGGUAAGCCUUUUUAUAGCAGUGGAGCUAGCCCGAAUGAAGAGUUUAUUAUAAAAAAUAGCCUCUUACAUUAAGCAGCUAAUUAUCAGGAGACAUACAUUUUCAAAUUGAUAAAGCAUGUCUUACUACUUAGAAUUUAUGUAAGUAAAUUCUGCUUCAAAACAGAAAUUCACAUUCUGAAAUAUACUACUCUUUUGAGAAUAGAGGAAGAAUUUUACAUUUUAAUGUUUUUAUUUUUAUUUUGCCCAGGAAGAAUAUGCUGUGAAUAUUUGGUGCGGGUCUUUCAGUUAUCUUUUCUCCUUCAUGUAAUAGGGUCAGAGAGCUGCCAAAAUGCAGUGGUAGGUAUCCUCUCCUUUCACUUUAGGGGUAGCAGAAAACUUGGGAAUACAGUAAGACUUGUCCACCAUUAGUGGUGAUGGGGAUUUCAUGUCCAAAAGUAAUUCCAGCAAAUCCCACAUUCUGUAAACUGUCUCCAUUCCCUCCAGACACACUUUGAGGCCAAGUACCCAUAGAUAUUUACUUUUAACUUGGUUUUCCAUUAUUUCCAACUUUUGUUGAGCAACGGCAUUUUCUAAUUAUAGAAGAGAUUUUUAAGAUGGUCCAAUUCAGUUUGCAUCAUAUCAUGUUACACUGUAACAGUUUGUAAAUUUACCUCCACUUUUUCCACAUUACCUUCCAAUUUUACACCCGUGGGGCAAAUGCUUCAAGUUUACCUUAAUCCUUUCUUUACUGACUUUAAUAGACUGUAAAAUAGUUUUAAGAGGAAUCUCAAAAGGCUUGUCAGGCUUCACCUGGUCCUCAGGCCCUGGAAUUCUUUGAGGUAGCAAAUGCACUUACUAUGGUAAGUAAACAGAGACCACCCUUCCCUUCUACUCUAAGCUAGAAUGAUACAUCUGAUACUGAGAAUAGAGACAGUAAGAAAUCCUGGGCAAAGACUAUCAUAAGAAUUUUUGAUAUAGUUUGUUGAGAAACCUUCGAGGGAGGACAGAAUGCCAUGAGACUUGGACUCAAAUCUGAACUCCAUCACUUGCUAGCUCAGAGACUGUGGGCAAGAAGAUGAACCCGUCUUGGUUUCCUCAUUUGUAACACAGGGAAAAGAACAGUACCUACCUUGAGGGUGAUAAAGACGAUUACCUUAGACAUCAUGCCUGGCACAUAAUAGCUCAUAUUUAAUGAGUCCUUAUUGGCCACAGAAAUCUGGGAUUGAAUUAUGUGCUCCUUUCUCAUUUGAAUGCUGCCCAGUAAGAGACCAGGGCAAGAGCUGGGAUAAGUAGCUAGGGAUGGUGGAGGAGAAUGACAGAAGAUAACAAAUAAUGUUUUCAGUUCUUUUCAUCAAGCUGUAUUUCCCUUUCCCCAUCUUAUAGAAUAGACUGUAGCACAUUUGCACUAGUCUGUUCUGGGAUCUUGAGUUCACUUUAAAAUCACUUAAAGAAAUGCUCCACUGCAAAAUGGAGCAUCCUCUGAAGGGCCGAAGCCCUGUCCAAAGCAGCGGUAGGCACUGGAGCCUUAGUGGCCAGACCAGUGUGCUGGGGGUGUGUCUGUGACCCAGGAGAAGUGAGGCUCAGAAAAGCACAAUUACUGCGUCUUCUUAAUUUUCCUUCUAAAGUUAUUCGACGGGACUGUGGUUUUGCUUUGAGCAAAACCCGCUUAACGGCUGGGAAUCUAAAAGCAAACAACAUUAUUUUAUUAGGUUACCCUAGCAGAUGAAAGCAGAGUGUUCCAUUUGGACUCUUUUUGGAGUCAAUUAAUGCAUUAGCUAAAAACAAACCCUUUUAAAAGAGAGUUCCUGUUGUCUUCAGCAGCUUCGAAGGGAAAGCUUCAGAAACAAGAGAGGUGAGCUGUAAACAAGUAAUACAUUCAUUGAUAAGAACAACUAUUGUACUAAUACAUUUCAACUCGUGUUAGAAUGUAAAACUCAUCUCAGAGGAUGAUUUUUUUAAAGUUUUAUUUUUAACCAAGACCAGGGAAUUUAAAUUUAUCAUAUAGUUUAUGUGACAAUGCCUGACUCAACUAAAGUCAAUUUUAAAUAGCUUUAGUUGUUUUAAUAAAAUAUUUAUUUAUGACUUGUAAAGUAAGUGAUCAGUACAUAAAACUGUGAUUGUUUUCAGUUAUGGUUUUAACUCCAGCAAUAGAAAAGGCCUAUAAAGUAGGACAAUAAUGGAGAUCACUCAUUUGGGAAAAAAAUACGAAUAGUUUAUUUCCACCCUCACAAACUCAUGUGCCUCUGACCAUUAUGCAAGGCACCAUGAAAUUAAAUACUUAUGUCAGAAUAUAUUUGUCUUCCAUGAUUCAAGAUAAAGUGAAUUUUAAAAGCAAAUGGGUGCCAAUGAUGGGGAGAUGAGGGGAAUAGGGCAGGCAGCAACAGGGUAACAUGCAUUUUUCAAGAGUGUUUCUCAAAAAUUCAUCCAUUCAUCCAUCCUUCAAAAUAAUAACUAGGAGCCUCUACUAAGAGAAUCAGAGACACAAUCCCAACCAUCAUGGAUCCCGAUCUGGACUUUCAAGCUGAAGACUGCCACUGUUUUAAGAGACGGAGGUGGCCGGGCGCAGUGGCUCACACCUGUAAUCCCAGCACUUUGGGAGGGUGAGCCAGGCGGAUCACCUGAGGUCGGGAAUUCGAGAUCAGCCUGGCCAACAUGGAAAAACUCUGUCUCUACUUAAAAUACAAAUAAUGAGUCGAGUGUGGUGGCAUAUGCUUGUAAUCCCAGCUACUUGGGAGGCUGAGGCAGGAGAAUCGCAUGAACCUGGGAAGUGGAGGUUGAAGUGAGCCGAGAUUGCACCACUGCACUCCAGCCUGGGCAACAAGAGCAAAACUCCAUCUCAAAAAAAAAAAAAAAAAAAAAAAAAAAAAAAAAAAAAAAAAAAAAAGGCAGAGGUGACAAUGCUGUUAGAUGCCUCAGACAUUAAAAUGAAGCAAUGAACUCCCCAUGGUCUUCCUAACAUAACAGAACUCUUUGGUGAAGGUUAUUCCCCAAAGGUAAAACAAAAGGCACACACUCCUUUGUGGGCAGUACCAUUUGUGGAAAGAACAUUUCACUGCUCUGACCAGGGAACGUGUCUCUUAAAAAUCUUUGGAAAAAUCCACAUCCUGAAAGCAUUUGAUUACCCUGAUUUGAAAAUGGGAUUUUGCUCAGUGGCAAGGAUACAAAUUCAUCCCCACAAGUAUGCCUUCUGCGGUAAAAGGCACAUGAUGACUUUUAGGGACAGUUUAUUUGGAAGGUUGAUAAAUGGGGCCAUAAGACAGGACUCAUCAAAUUUCUUUUUUGAGAUCUCCCUCUACCUGAAGCAUUCCAGCAUGACUUGCAUUCUGAAUACCUAGUUGGAGGAGGUUACAAACAGUUUCAAGCGCCAUUUGUUCCCGUUUUGAUUCCCCACUCGCUGGGUUAUGUGCUGUUAGACAUUUCCAGAAGACUGUCAAAAUGAAUCACGUGGUGGACCAGGAGCAGAGUGGAGACUCGGGGCAGGCAGAGCAGAGGAGGCUGGCCCCCUCACGUAGGCAGGCAAGCAGGCAGGCAUGUGGGAGUUACCAGCUUCAGUUCCUCAGCCCUACAGAGGGAAACGACCCACGGCACCAACAACAGCCACACCACUGACGACGACAACGGAUUGUGCUGUCACCAGAAAGAAGGGAAACCCAGAGCGAAUUUUACAGUGGUUUUCACCACACGGUGAUUGCAGUCCUGUUCAGGGCAUGUCACAGUAACACCACCCACUGAGCAGAACCCAGAGGGAAAUUAGGCCUCCUUCAAAGUCUCCCAUUACUGCCUAUCCCUGAACAGAAUAAGGCAAGGAUUUUAAGGACACACAGACAUGUGGCCCUACCUCCAUUGGCUUCCUGGGGCCCCUGGCUUCUUAUUCACUAAAGAGAAUUGUUCUCAGUGACUGACAAGGCUAAAUGAAGACAGGGUGCUCUCUCAUUAAAUGCAACUGCUCUUUAAGAGGCAGGCAGGGCCAUGGACAAGUUAUGAGAUUUUUGGUCAGUGUUUUUACCAAGAAAACUUGAUCUGCCAUAAAAUCUCAAACAAGUGAAGAAAAGGAAUGCAGAGAUGCAGGGCCUUUUCUCCACAUUCAAAAGACCAAAGUUGGCAUGUUUUGUUCUAACACCAACCACAUUUCUAACACAUAUUUGGAGUUCUGUGACUAGUCUCUGAGAUUAUAAUACAGAUAUUUAUCACUUAUCACACUGAAUUUGGGGAGGGGAUUCCCCUUUGGUUUUGUCAAAUAAUCACAGAAGGAGCCAUGUAUGUUAUCUGUCCUGUUUCUAGUGAAGAAGACAAAGCUCUUCACUCCCCUCCUGACCCUCCCCCUCUAAAAAAUCAGCCAUUUAUGGCGGGUAUUGACUCUUGCCAAUUUUAAACUGUAACUUCAAAUGUCAGCCUGUUGACUUACAGAAACAGACUGACAAAUGGCUGUCUGCUAUGGAGAAAAACUUUGGAAACUCAAAAUGUUCAUACAGACUGCCAACAGAUUAAUUAGUAGCCUCUUUGGAAGCAUGAUCACGGUCUAAGAAUAGCCUUAAAUCCUGUUCAAGACUAGCUUCUUUCCCCAAAUCAUUAUAGUGCUAGCCAAAUAAUAGCAAAUGUUAGAUACAGUGGUAUAUGGUUUUGGUGUGUGCAAGAGUCAGACUGGAUUAGAAAAUACGACUGCCAUUUCAUACCAGUUUUCAUGGCUAAGUUCUACUAAAACUAUGUGACCUUCAUCAUCACAAUAAACUGCCGAAAGUGCUGGAAUGACUAGAACUAAGGUGUCAGUUUGCUAGUUCUUUGCUUAUCUAUGGUUAAAUACAGUUUCUUGUACUCACUUUGAACCAUGAAAAUGAGGGAACACAUUACCUUGAAAGAUACUGAGGAUAUAUCCAUGCCAAUAUGAAUAAAAUUCCCCUCAAAACAAAACAUGUAGGCCAAUAAUGACAAUUACUGUAUCCACUCACCAUGCAACAUGCACAAGACCAAACAACUCAAUCACUUUACAAAUAGUUUAUUUCCACCUUCACAAAUUCAUGCGCCUCUGACCAUUAUGCAAGGCAACAUGAAUUAAAU
rnacentral:lncRNA from 1 species